AGAAGGCCUUCGGUUGUAAAGCACUUUUUCCGGAAAGAAAACCUCGUGGUUAAUACUCGUGGGGGAUGACGGUACCGGAAGAAUAAGCACCGGCUAACUACGUGCCAGCAGCCGCGGUAAUACGUAGGGUGCAAGCGUUAAUCGGAAUUACUGGGCGUAAAGCGUGCGCAGGCGGUUCGCUAAGACAGAUGUGAAAUCCCCGGGCUUAACCUGGGAACUGCAUUUGUGACUGGCGGGCUAGAGUAUGGCAGAGGGGGGUAGAAUUCCACGUGUAGCAGUGAAAUGCGUAGAGAUGUGGAGGAAUACCGAUGGCGAAGGCAGCCCCCUGGGCCAAUACUGACGCUCAUGCACGAAAGCGUGGGGAGCAAACAGGAUUAGAUACCCUGGUAGUCCACGCCCUAAACGAUGUCAACUAGUUGUCGGGUCUUCAUUGACUUGGUAACGUAGCUAACGCGUGAAGUUGACCGCCUGGGGAGUACGGUCGCAAGAUUAAAACUCAAAGGAAUUGACGGGGACCCGCACAAGCGGUGGAUGAUGUGGAUUAAUUCGAUGCAACGCGAAAAACCUUACCUACCCUUGACAUGUAUGGAACCCUGCUGAGAGGUGGGGGUGCCCGAAAGGGAGCCAUAACACAGGUGCUGCAUGGCUUC
rnacentral:rRNA from 1 species